CCCGGUAAACGGCGGCCGUAACUAUAACGGUCCUAAGGUAGCGAAAUUCCUUGUCGGGUAAGUUCCGACCUGCACGAAUGGCGUAAUGAUGGCCAGGCUGUCUCCACCCGAGACUCAGUGAAAUUGAACUCGCUGUGAAGAUGCAGUGUACCCGCGGCAAGACGGAAAGACCCCGUGAACCUUUACUAUAGCUUGACACUGAACACUGGUCCUUGAUGUGUAGGAUAGGUGGGAGGCUUUGAAGUGUGGACGCCAGUCUGCAUGGAGCCAUCCUUGAAAUACCACCCUUUAAUGGCUGGUGUUCUAACGUGGGCCCCUAAUCGGGGUUGCGGACAGUGUCUGGUGGGUAGUUUGACUGGGGCGGUCUCCUCCUAAAGAGUAACGGAGGAGCACGAAGGUCAGCUAAUCCUGGUCGGACAUCAGGAGGUUAGUGCAAUGGCAUAAGCUGGCUUGACUGCGAGCGUGACGGCGCGAGCAGGUGCGAAAGCAGGUCAUAGUGAUCCGGUGGUUCUGAAUGGAAGGGCCAUCGCUCAACGGAUAAAAGGUACUCCGGGGAUAACAGGCUGAUACCGCCCAAGAGUUCAUAUCGACGGCGGUGUUUGGCACCUCGAUGUCGGCUCAUCACAUCCUGGGGCUGAAGUAGGUCCCAAGGGUAUGGCUGUUCGCCAUUUAAAGUGGUACGCGAGCUGGGUUUAGAACGUCGUGAGACAGUUCGGUCCCUAUCUGCCGUGGGCGCUGGAGAAUUGAGGGGGGCUGCUCCUAGUACGAGAGGACCGGAGUGGACGCAUCACUGGUGUUCGGGUUGUCAUGCCAAUGGCAUUGCCCGGUAGCUAAAUGCGGAAGAGAUAAGUGCUGAAAGCAUCUAAGCACGAAACUUGCC
rnacentral:rRNA from 1 species